rnacentral:rRNA from 1 species
AGAGUUUGAUCAUGGCUCAGAUUGAACGCUGGCGGAAUGCUUUACACAUGCAAGUCGAACGGCAGCACGGGCUUCGGUCUGGUGGCGAGUGGCGAACGGGUGAGUAAUAUAUCGGAACGUAUCCAAUAAUGGGGGAUAACUAAUCGAAAGGUUGGCUAAUACCGCAUACGCCCUACGGGGGAAAGCUGGGGACCUUCGGGCCUGGCGUUAAUGGAGCGGCCGAUAUCUGAUUAGCUAGUUGGUGAGGUAAAGGCUCACCAAGGCGACGAUCAGUAGCUGGUCUGAGAGGACGACCAGCCACACUGGAACUGAGACACGGUCCAGACUCCUACGGGAGGCAGCAGUGGGGAAUUUUGGACAAUGGGCGAAAGCCUGAUCCAGCCAUUCCGCGUGAGUGAAGAAGGCCUUCGGGUUGUAAAGCUCUUUCGCAAGGGAAGAAAGAUUACUCUCUAACAUAGAGUGAUUAUGACGGUACCUUGAUAAGAAGCACCGGCUAACUACGUGCCAGCAGCCGCGGUAAUACGUAGGGUGCGAGCGUUAAUCGGAAUUACUGGGCGUAAAGCGUGCGCAGGCGGUUUUGUAAGUCAGAUGUGAAAUCCCCGAGCUCAACUUGGGAACUGCGUUUGAAACUACAAGACUAGAAUAUGUCAGAGGGGGGUAGAAUUCCACGUGUAGCAGUGAAAUGCGUAGAGAUGUGGAGGAGUACCAAUGGCGAAGGCAGCCCCCUGGGAUAAUAUUGACGCUCAUGCACGAAAGCGUGGGGAGCAAACAGGAUUAGAUACCCCGGUAGUCC